rnacentral:rRNA from 1 species
GGUUAAGCGACUAAGCGUACACGGUGGAUGCCCUGGCAGUCAGAGGCGAUGAAGGACGUGCUAAUCUGCGAAAAGCGUCGGUAAGGUGAUAUGAACCGUUACAGCCGGCGAUGUCCGAAUGGGGAAACCCAGUGUGAUUCGUCACACUAUCGUUAACUGAAUACAUAGGUUAACGAGGCGAACCGGGGGAACUGAAACAUCUAAGUACCCCGAGGAAAAGAAAUCAACCGAGAUUCCCCCAGUAGCGGCGAGCGAACGGGGAGCAGCCCAGAGUCUGAAUCAGCUUGUGUGUUAGUGGAACGGUCUGGAAAGUCCGACGGUACAGGGUGAUAGUCCCGUACACCAAAAUGCACAGGCUGUGAACUCGAAGAGUAGGGCGGGACACGUGGUAUCCUGUCUGAAUAUGGGGGGACCAUCCUCCAAGGCUAAAUACUCCUGACUGACCGAUAGUGAACCAGUACCGUGAGGGAAAGGCGAAAAGAACCCCGGCGAGGGGAGUGAAAAAGAACCUGAAACCGUGUACGUACAAGCAGUGGGAGCACCUUCGGGUGUGACUGCGUACCUUUUGUAUAAUGGGUCAGCGACUUAUAUUCUGUAGCAAGGUUAACCGUAUAGGGGAGCCGCAGGGAAACCGAGUCUUAACUGGGCGUUAAGUUGCAGGGUAUAGACCCGAAACCCGGUGAUCUAGCCAUGGGCAGGUUGAAGGUUGGGUAACACUAACUGGAGGACCGAACCGACUAAUGUUGAAAAAUUAGCGGAUGACUUGUGGCUGGGGGUGAAAGGCCAAUCAAACCGGGAGAUAGCUGGUUCUCCCCGAAAGCUAUUUAGGUAGCGCCUCGUGAACUCAUCUUCGGGGGUAGAGCACUGUUUCGGCUAGGGGGUCAUCCCGACUUACCAACCCGAUGCAAACUACGAAUACCGAAGAAUGUUAUCACGGGAGACACACGGCGGGUGCUAACGUCCGUCGUGAAGAGGGAAACAACCCAGACCGCCAGCUAAGGUCCCAAAGUCACAGUUAAGUGGGAAACGAUGUGGGAAGGCACAGACAGCCAGGAUGUUGGCUUAGAAGCAGCCAUCAU